CGGCCACCGAGAGGCGGGUCUCCAGCCCCUCUUCCCCCUUCCCGUCCCGUCCUGUCCUGCCCCGUGGUCUUCACUCCUGAAACACCUUCUGCUCUCGUGGCUGAGUUAUUUUUUCUAGACCAAAACAAAAUAGGAAAUUCCCCGGGAGAAUAGUUAAAUAUUUUCAUGUCCUUUAACAACACCACCCCCCCCCCACACUGCCCCACGUUGACUGUGUCGCAUGAAUUUUAUAACCAAGACAGUUUUGGGCGGUUGCAUGAAUACUCCCGGUGUCGGAAGCCGCCGCAAGAACAAGAACUUUCGUACAGCCAACAACGAAUCAGAAAGGCGUUUGUGUUUCCGCAAGCUUUUCACCAACAAAACUGUCUUUGAUGAGAUAUGACUAGGAGAACAUCAUUAAGCUGAACUCCACUCUCCUGUUUAAUGACAGUGAUAAAGCAAGACACCGCUCUUCUGGCCAAGCUCCCAAGUAUAACGUCCUUCUGCCCUUUCAGAAGGUAGUACCUGUACAUUCCCAUGAUGACCUGCUCCCUAUUUUCAAACUGGGAAGUUUCUCAAACUGAAGUGGAUGUGAAUCACCUACAUAUCUUGAACAUUGCCUAGUGACAACUUGUGGAGGAAAGGGUUUAUUUCAUUGUAAAGUUGUAGUCCAUCAUGAAGGAAAGUUGAAGCCGGGACUCCAGGAAGGAACCGAAAGGCACAAACUGAAGCAGAGACCAUGGAGGAAUGCUGCUUCCAGGGCUUGCUCUCCAAGGACUAAAUUGAGGGAGAUUCUAUGAAAUUCCUGUCCAUUAUACAUAAAACUCAUCAAGAUUCUGUAUGGAAAGCAAAGAGAGACUGAGAAGAUGCCACUGAUGGAAGACUGGGCACAGAGGAAGGCUAUAAAAGAGCGUCCUGGAAUGCAUCCCAGAUAACAGAAGAAUGUUAGUGGUAAAAUAUGAAUAAAGCCUGUAACUUAGUGCUAUUAUAUAAAUGUUAAGUUCCUUAUUUUGUUAAAUAGGGAUGUAGCAAAUGCUAGCAUUGGAAGUUGGACAAAGGGCAUAUAAGAACUCUGUACUGUUUAGAAAACUUUUCUUUAAAAAUUAUUGCAAAAUGCAUUUUAAUUUAUAUUAUCACCUCUGUUAAAAUCUGAAUGUUUACUUAUUUUGUAGAAAAAAAUAUAAUCUUGCAUUACAAAUGUUGUAUUUGUCUAUCUUUUAUUCUUCCUUGAAGAAAAAAAAUUACAGCACUUGCUAUCCAUUUUGCCACAAUCAUAUUCAGACCUUACUCAACCUUUAGUUAAUGUUUAAAUGAAAACUAUAAUAAUAUUUUAAUGCCGUAGUUAAUCAAAACUUCCUGUCUCUUCUGUGGAAUUAAGUGUAAUGGAUUUUCUGAGCUUCUAUUAACUCUUCGAGUUUAUAAGGCUGCCACCUAGUUAUCUGGUGGCAGAGUGUUCAGAGAAAUUUAAAGGAACUGCUACAAGUACCUAAUUAAUCCUUACAAUGUUGAGAUAAUCUGAUUCAUUAAAAGAACAAUGUGUGCCUGGCACUGAACUAGAAAUUUUUAAUUACCAUUUUGUACUUUGCCGAUAACUUGAUCUUCAGUGGGGGAAAAAACAGAAGAAAGAAAAGUGACUCUUCUAGGUUACAUACUAAAAACGUUAAAACACAGACUUGAAUGAAACAGAGUAACAGAUAAAUGUAAGAAUUAAUUUUUGACAUUUUGAGAUCAUAUUUCCCAGAUUAUUGAUUCUAAAAAGAAUUUCAAUAAGAGCUCCUCGUUUUAUCUGUAUAACACUUAUGUUUUACUAGCAAAUACAAAUUUCUUGAGACAGUAAAUUGUUUAAGCCAAAGAGCAGGUUAAAACUGAUUUUUUAAAUAAGAAUUAAGUUUUCUGCUGUUACCCUCCACAUAUUUUCCUUCUAGCCAGAAGUUGCAUAUUUUCAAAGAUUUGUAUUAGGACAUGUUAACCAUUGAAUAGUUUACUAUUUAAGGAGUGUGUAUGGAAACCUAGGAUGCCGCACCUCAUGUUGAACGUUAAAGUUUUUUUUUUUCUUUCUGCAGAGUUACUACUUUUACAUAAAGUUAAUAUUGUGGGUGUAAGCUUACCUAUAUCAAAACUUCUUUUGAAAACUUUUCAGAGAUAAGCAGACUUGCAGGUAUUUCUGCAUACUUCUAUUCACGAAUACCUGGUAAAUUAACUCUCAUUUGCAAAGCUAGCAUUUCCCAGGGCUAAAAAAAUUGAAUUAUUUCACAAGGUUUAUCAUUCACCCAACUCAAUAUUCUAUUAGUUACAUUGUGCUUUUGAUCUAAAAUAAAAAAAGUUGUUUGACAGAGACAGCUCGAAAGUUCUCCUUAGUGGGAUGAGGUAGAAAAAGAUCUAAGAAUAGUUCUAAUAUAAAAGGAUUCUGGAGGAUGGAUGUGAGGUACAUAUUUCUGUGGAGUUAUCAGUACUUAUUAAAUGACAGACAUUCUUGCAGUGUUCAGGUUUGUAUUUUUCCUUACUUUUCCUAUUGCACAUAAUUGGGGAUAAAUUUUUUCACUCAUUAAAAUAAAUACUUGUCCAGAGUAGGAGGAUGUAUUUUAAUUAUGUAACUUAAAAAUAUAUACACGUAUAUGUGGGUAUAUGUAUGUGUGUGUCAGUACUAAGAAGUUGAUUCAAUAUUCAACCUGAGAAUUUUGUUUUAUUUUUGUUUUGAAAUAGGGUCUCUAUAGCUGAGGCUGGCACGACACCAAGCUCAUAGGUGGAUUUUCUAUAAAAUUGUGUUUAGUUUCUUAAUUUUCCUAAGGGCUCUGUUGAUUACUAAGAGCAGCUAAGAAUUAGUUCCCAAGGGAUAUAAAAGGACAGUGGAAGGAUUUAAUCUCAAGCAUUAAGCAACCAGAACUGGGCAUCAGGCAAAGAUGGUUAUUCCAAGUCCCUGGAAAGGAAAUGAGGGAAGACAUGUCAACAUUCAGGGAAGAGGAUCUGGAAAAUG